UUGCAACUUUUGGCCCAAAAGUUUGAAUAAUUAAAUUCAAACCUAUAGUUCUUUUUAAUAUAAUUUUGGGACUCACAAUCCCAUUUUUAUAUUAUUUUUUUCUCUUCCUCUCACAUUGCUCGGCGUUUUCUCGCAAGGGGGGAUUUUUUUUUUCUUCAGAUUAUAUUGACAAAGAUAGUGGUGAAAAAGGAGUUGUGAAGGGGAACUUGUUAUUCAAGACACAAGGAGUGAGUCCGGCCGAGAAAGCACCAGAGGUGUAAUUAUAGUGUGAGCAACGAUGGGUUUAAUUUGGGUUGCAUUCUCAGAUCGAAGUAUAAAUUAGUUAUGUUUGCCUAUGAUAUUCAUUUUAUGUGGCGAAAGAUAGUUGCCUAUGAUUUUCUUGCCAUGGUUGCUGGCCUGCCGUCCUGUAAGGAACAAGGGAAAUGAAGCACCAUGAUUGUCGUUGUUUGAUAGAGAAACGAAAGGGUGUAAGAGAAGAUGAAAUGAGAUCCAUCUAAUGUGUAUACGAUUUUUUUA